GAUGAACGCUGGCGGCGUGCCUAAUACAUGCAAGUCGAGCGAACAGACGAGGAGCUUGCUCCUCUGACGUUAGCGGCGGACGGGUGAGUAACACGUGGAUAACCUACCUAUAAGACUGGGAUAACUUCGGGAAACCGGAGCUAAUACCGGAUAAUAUAUUGAACCGCAUGGUUCAAUAGUGAAAGACGGCUUUGCUGUCACUUAUAGAUGGAUCCGCGCCGCAUUGGCUAGUUGGUAAGGUAACGGCUUACCAAGGCAACGAUGCGUAGCCGACCUGAGAGGGUGAUCGGCCACACUGGAACUGAGACACGGUCCAGACUCCUACGGGAGGCAGCAGUAGGGGAUCUUCCGCAAUGGGCGAAAGCUUGACGGAGCAACGCCGCGUGAGUGAUGAAGGUCUUCGGAUCGUAAAACUCUGUUAUUAGGGAAGAACAAAUGUGUAAGUAACUAUGCACGUCUUGACGGUACCUAAUCAGAAAGCCACGGCUAACUACGUG
rnacentral:rRNA from 1 species